rnacentral:rRNA from 1 species
AUGUUAAGUCAACUUGGCAUUCACCAAAACAUGGUAUCAGUUCUCAUUCCUGAAGAGAUUGGAAGGCUUGUCAACCUCCAAGUUUUGCAACUAAGCAACAACAACUUAAGCGGUUUGAUACCGAAAACCAUUGGUAAUCUGACCCAGCUAAAUACUUUGUACCUGUUUGGUUAUCAUCUUUCAGGACCUAUACCAAAAGAACUAGGCAGGCUAGUCCAUAUGCAAAGUCUUGAGCUUAAUUCAAAUGAUUUAUCGGGGCCAAUUCCAGUCUCCAUAACCAAUCUCACUAAGAUGAACAAAUUUUUUCUCUAUCAUAAUCAAAUCACAGGUUCCAUCCGCCCGACAAUAGGAAAUCUUAAUAUGCUGAAUAUACUUUGUCUCUAUCGAAAUCAAAUAACUGGUUCAAUACCCCCAGGACUAGGAAACCUCACUUUGCUAAAUAAGCUUUUUCUCUAUACAAAUAAAAUCACAGGGCCGAUGCCUUCAAAAGUGGGCGGCUUGCUGAAUCUCCAAGGAUUAUACUUGUCCGAGAACCAAAUAUUUGGCUCUCUUCCUGACAACUUAGGAAAUAUUACCAAGUUACUUGCAUUAUCCCUCUCUGAUAAUCAGAUAACCAGUCUCAUUCCCCAAGAGAUUGGCAAUCUAAUGAACCUCAAGUAUUUAGGCUUGUAUCUUAACCAAAUUUCGGGAUCAAUCCCAAAAACUUUUGGGAAGUUGCAAAGUGUCCAAGAUUUGCAACUCUUUGAUAACAAUCUGCCAGGUUCUCUUCCUCAAGAAGUAGGACAUCUCACAAGCCUUAUUAAACUUGGGUUGUCUAACAACUCACUUUCAGGAACUUUACCCGCAAAUAUAUAUUCAGGUGGUAGACUUCAAUCCAUCGGCAUAUCUUUUAAUAUGUUCGGUGGCCUAAUUCCACGGAUUUAA